UACAGAGGUCCCGAGCGUUGUUCGGAUUUAUUGGGCGUAAAGGGUGCGUAGGCGGCGGGGUAAGUUGGGUGUGAAAUCCCGGGGCUCAACCUCGGAAUGGCAUUCAAUACUGCUUCGCUAGAGUACUGGAGAGGAGGCUGGAAUUUACGGUGUAGCAGUGAAAUGCGUAGAUAUCUGGAGGAAUACCGGUGGCGAAGGCGGCAUCCUGGACCGGCAUUGACGCUGAGGCGCGAAAGCGUGGGGAGCAAACGGG
rnacentral:rRNA from 1 species